GCACCGCGUACGGGGCCAACGCCGUACGGCACGGUAAACCCCACUCGGAGCAAGACCAAAUAGGGGAACGAUAACGCGGCCCGCGUUGUUCCCGGGUAGGUUGCUGGAGCCAGGCGGCGACGCCUGGCCGAGAGGAAUGACUGUCGCGCUGCAAGGCGUACAGAACCCGGCUUACAGGCCGACUCCACCU
rnacentral:RNase_P_RNA from 1 species